rnacentral:rRNA from 1 species
AUUGAACGCUGGCGGCAGGCUUAACACAUGCAAGUCGAGCGGAGUGAUGGUGCUUGCACUAUCACUUAGCGGCGGACGGGUGAGUAAUGCUUAGGAAUCUGCCUAUUAGUGGGGGACAACAUCUCGAAAGGGAUGCUAAUACCGCAUACGUCCUACGGGAGAAAGCAGGGGAUCACUUGUGACCUUGCGCUAAUAGAUGAGCCUAAGUCGGAUUAGCUAGUUGGUGGGGUAAAGGCCUACCAAGGCGACGAUCUGUAGCGGGUCUGAGAGGAUGAUCCGCCACACUGGGACUGAGACACGGCCCAGACUCCUACGGGAGGCAGCAGUGGGGAAUAUUGGGCAAUGGGGGGAACCCUGAUCCAGCCAUGCCGCGUGUGUGAAGAAGGCCUUAUGGUUGUAAAGCACUUUAAGCGAGGAGGAGGCUCUUUUGGUUAAUACCCAAGAUGAGUGGACGUUACUCGCAGAAUAAGCACCGGCCAACUCUGUGCCAGCCGCCGCCGUAA